rnacentral:rRNA from 1 species
GCAUAUCAAUAAGCGGAGGAAAAGAAAAUAACAAUGAUUUCCUUAGUAACGGCGAGUGAAGAGGAAAAAGCUCAAAGUUGUAACCUAUUUGGCUUAGCCAAAUCGGAUUGUAGACUGGAGAAGUGUUUUAUGGCACGCCGAGUGAAAAAGUCCCUUGGAACAGGGCAUCAUAGAGGGUGAGAAUCCCGUGAAUUCACUUGAGUAUAUGUUGUCAACUUUAAUACACUUUCAAAGAGUCAGGUUGUUUGGGAAUGCAGCCUAAAUUGGGUGGUAAAUCUCACCUAAAGCUAAAUAUUGGCGAGAGACCGAUAGCGAACAAGUACCGUGAGGGAAAGAUGAAAAGAACUUUGAAAAGAGAGUUAAACAGUACGUGAAAUUGUUAAAAGGGAACCGUUUGGAGCCAGACCGGCUUUAUCGUAAUCAAUCUAGGUUUCGACCUGGAUGCACUUGCGGUAGAUUUGCCUGCCAACGACAGUUUUUUUUGAGGGAAAAAACUAGGAGGAAUGUGGCCCUUAACUUGUUAGGGGUGUUAUAGCCUUUUAGAAAAUACCUUGAAUUGGACUGAGGAACGCAGCGAAUGCUCUUUAGGGCGAAAUAGUUGAGUGCUUUGGCUGAUAGAUGCUAGAAUUUCUGCUUCGGGUGGUGCUAGUGUUUAAAGGUUAAACUCGCUUGAUUCAUUUUUUAUUCGCUUAGGUUGUUGGCUUAAUGACUCUAAAUGACCCGUCUUGAAACACGGACC